GCGGGUGUGGUAUAGAAGUAUUACGCCAGUUUACCAAACUGGAAAUGCAGGAGCGUUACCUGCCAUCCGCU
rnacentral:tRNA from 1 species